CAGACGGGUGAGUAAUGCGUAGGAAUCUACCUAGUAGUACGGAAUAGCCAUUAGAAAUGGUGGGUAAUACUGUAUAAUCCCCGAGGGGGAAAGAUUUAUCGCUAUUAGAUGAGCCUACGUUAGAUUAGCUAGUUGGUGAGGUAAUGGCUUACCAAGGCUAUGAUCUAUAGCUGGUCUGAGAGGACGAUCAGCCACACUGGAACUGAGAUACGGUCCAGACUCCUACGGGAGGCAGCAGUGGGGAAUAUUGGACAAUGGGCGAAAGCCUGAUCCAGCUAUGCCGCGUGAGUGAAGAAGGC
rnacentral:rRNA from 1 species